AUUCUGCCCAUGCGGGGAAGGAUGAGAAGCUUCGACUAAGGUUCUGCUCGAGCGUCAGCGAGAGAGCGUUGCCGCAGGCAACGACCCGAAGGGCGAAGCGCGCAGCGCUGAGUAAUCCUUCCCCCACCACCA
rnacentral:sRNA from 1 species